CUUGCUUCUCUUGAGAGCGGCGGACGGGUGAGUAAUGCCUAGGAAUCUGCCUGGUAGUGGGGGAUAACGUUCGGAAACGGACGCUAAUACCGCAUACGUCCUACGGGAGAAAGCAGGGGACCUUCGGGCCUUGCGCUAUCAGAUGAGCCUAGGUCGGAUUAGCUAGUUGGUGAGGUAAUGGCUCACCAAGGCGACGAUCCGUAACUGGUCUGAGAGGAUGAUCAGUCACACUGGAACUGAGACACGGUCCAGACUCCUACGGGAGGCAGCAGUGGGGAAUAUUGGACAAUGGGCGAAAGCCUGAUCCAGCCAUGCCGCGUGUGUGAAGAAGGUCUUCGGAUUGUAAAGCACUUUAAGUUGGGAGGAAGGGCAGUUACCUAAUACGUGAUUGUUUUGACGUUACCGACAGAAUAAGCACCGGCUAACUCUGUGCCAGCAGCCGCGGUAAUACAGAGGGUGCAAGCGUUAAUCGGAAUUACUGGGCGUAAAGCGCGCGUAGGUGGUUAGUUAAGUUGGAUGUGAAA
rnacentral:rRNA from 1 species